GAUGAACGCUGGCGGCGUGCCUAAUACAUGCAAGUCGAGCGAACAGAUGAGGAGCUUGCUCCUCUGACGUUAGCGGCGGACGGGUGAGUAACACGUGGAAAACCUACCUAUAAGACUGGGAUAACUUCGGGAAACCGGAGCUAAUACCGGAUAAUAUAUUGAACCGCAUGGUUCAAUAGUGAAAGACGGUUUUGCUGUCACUUAUAGAUGGAUCCGCGCCGCAUUAGCUAGUUGGUAAGGUAACGGCCUACCAAGGCGACGAUGCGUAGGCGACCUGAGAGGGUGAUCGGCCACACUGGAACUGAGACACGGUCCAGACGCCUACGGGAGGCCGCAGUAGGGAAUCUGCCGCAAUGGGCGAAAGCCUUACGGAGCAACGCCGCGUGAGUGAUGAAGGUCUUCGGAUCGGAAAACUCUGUUAUUAGUGAAGAACAAAUGUGUAAGUAACUAUGCACGUCUUGACGGUACCGAAUCAGAAAGCCACGGCUAACUACGUG
rnacentral:rRNA from 1 species